AGUAGUCGCGCGCUUUGUGGCCGGACGCGGGUCGCGGGCGGUUCAUUAGCAGGUGUGACCGGUUUGUUAUCACCGACUUGACAAGCUUGUGAUAAGCGACGCGGGAAGACCCCGCACUGCCAGGUGGAAUUUUUAAUGACUAAUCCUUAUUUGUAUCGAUUUGUUUGCAACAAAUUCAAUUAUCGUAGUUGCGAUCUGGCGCCGCCAUCGCCCCGGAUAGUUUUGCCGCGAAGUGGUCCCGCCUUUUAAGAUGUAGGUCCUGUGAUGUUUCUUACAUGAAAUGAAAUGUGUCAAAUUUUACAAUUUUUAAUAAGCAUUUAGUGAACAGUAUCAUAAUAAACUGAAAGUGAGGUCUCAAAAAAGCGUUGUUCAACGAGUCGCCCUUUCAACUACUUUUUGACUUUAUUUUAUUUCGUUCACACAGGAACCCUCGCCCUCUUUCCCUGUACGUACCAAUAAUACCAAGCGCAUUAUUGUUAACUAUGUGAUAAAAUAAUUUCCCCAAUAAACUUUUGUAGCAGGAGAGACCACGCGAAACGACAUAGCUUCAAGGUCAAGCAAAUCGUAUCGGAACCCUAAAGGUUAAGUGAUGUCGUAAUGUCAUAUAGUUUUUUGCGUUAACACAUACCUAAACAUAAAAACUUUAAUUUCGUUUAAAGGUGAAAUCUAUACUGAUACUUAAUACUUAAUAUUAUAAAGAGGAAAGAUUGGUUUGUUUGUUUGUAUUGAAUAGGCUCUGAAACUACUGAACCGAUUUGAAAAAUUAUUUCACUGUUUGGAAGCUACACUAUUCCCGAAUGACAUAGGAUAUAGUCUUUUUUGAAAAAAAUUAGGUAUCCGUACUAAAACUCCAAUAAUGUAACCCAAGGUGUAAAAAAAAUACCAAAAUUAUUCAUUACAUCGCGUGCCCUGCGAAAACUAUUGAUGAUAGAAUAAAAUAAUGUACUACGACUUUAUUAUAAUUUACAAAAAGUGUCGCAACAGCAUAUAUCUAACUAUUAUGCCACAAUAAGUGUUCUUUUUUUUUAGAAAAUAAAAGAAAGUCAAAUAUCGUUGAAAUUUUUGUUAAAGACCCGAACGGAGCCGGAGCGGGCCGCUAGUUAUUAAUAAAACGAUUGUUGUUGAUUGAUGUUCUACAGGUUGUAGUUGUUGUGGCCAUUUCGUACUGAUUAUGUAACCAAACGGGGUCGGGCUUAAAGCAGUGGACUGUAGUGUUUUUGAACUAUGUUAUGCAUUUUUUUUUAUUGCUUAUAUGGGUGGACGAGCUCACAGCCCACCUGGUGUUAAGUGGUUACUGGAGCCCAUAGACAUCUACAACGUAAAUGCGCCACCCACCUUGAAAUAUAAGUUCUAAGGUCUCAAGUAUAGUUACAACCGCUGCCCCACCCUUCAAAGCGAAACGCAUUACUGCUUCACGGCAGAAAUAAGCAGGGCGGUGGUACCUACCCGCGCGGACUCACAAGACGUCCUACCACCAGUAAUUACGCAAAUUAUAAUUUUGCGGGUGAUGUCCGACACGCCCCGCGUCUGUCUCAGCCCUCAGCGGUCCUAGUUCGAAGAGGAGAGCUGGUCGUGGGAUCCAAGAACAGCUUCAAUAAGCUCAUCAAGUUUGUCCUCGUUAUGUUAAUGACUUUUUUAAGUAACACCGUAUGAAACUUUUUUGGCUGUUCAAACUACAUUACGCUUUCUUAUUAACUACACAAUUAUUUUCAACAAAUAUAUAAAGUAGUACAAUAUACACCUGGGCCAGUAAUCAACAAAUAUUGAUUUUUUUGUUCGUGAACAAAAUCUUCAAUUCGUCAAUUGUAGAUACAAUUGUAUUUACUUACAGUUCCAUGUGCACAGUAAGUAUGUCAAUGUUUAAUUACAGAUUUUUUCACAAUAUUGGUUACUCUUCCAUCGUUUUCUCGUGAUAGCAUACCUAUAUAGUCCGUUUAUAUGUCCAGAGUCUGGUGUAUUACCUUGAGCCUGCCACAUGUAAUACUUCGCGAUAUUUCUGUGCAUUCUCGUAGGAUGAUUGCUUUAAGAGAGGUCAGAUAUUCGGUUGGUACUGUAGGACGGCUGUCUUGUAGAAAUAGUUUAGCUUGAGAAUUUCUUGUUUUUAAGAUCAUUAUGCCUAAAUUGUUAAUCCACAAUUAAAUUUUUUCAAUUACAUUUUCAUAUUUUCUUGAAUAACGUGUUCAGGUAUAAGCACAGUGGCUCGAAUCGAAAUACUGAUUGACAUUAGCGGAAAAGUCAAAUAUUUUCAUGUAUUUCCCCGUUCAUUACUUAUUUAUAAUCAGUCACUGUUCUCAGGAGGAUAAUAGACGAUAAUCGCGACGUUGCGCGACUCUGUGGGACGCAUCCGAACAAAACGAAGGAAAAUAUCGUUACAAAAUCACUAAUCAAAUAAUAGAUCAGCUUGUUCGCGAUUUCCAUGAACGAGGGGAAAGCCCGAGCAUAAUUAAAAUGCAAAUUUUCCGCCUUCACUACUCACGUAAGCAAUAACACAGGAGGAGUACUUGGAUGAUUAAAGAGACCCAGAGACGGACGGCGAAAACCUUAUUGAAUCUAAUACAACAAUCUCGACAAUGGUCUCAUCAUUGAACUCAUUGCCGACCCCACUUAGUUGGCGAGCCCAGGACUGGCCACUGUAUAUGUACAUUAUAUGGAUGUUUUUUGGAAAAAUCGCAAACUGCCAAACACUAAAGAAUCUAAAUAAAUAACUAAAUCACUAAUAAAUAGAUAUAUAUAUAUAUAGAUAAAAUAAUAAUCAAGUACGAGCAUUAUAUACACAGUAAUAUUUUUUUAAUUAUUUUAACGUAUUCAUUGAGGGUUCAAUUCAAGGAAUAAAAGCUAAGAGUCUCGGCUGCGACAGUGACGUGGACUUUAUCAUUGUAAUAAUAUCAUGUCUGUGAAAAAAUAGACGACUAAUAAUGUAGAACAUUGUAUCCGGUACUGUGGAACCUAUAAUUUAAUUGUUCUAUUUAUAAUUACGUAAAUAAAAAUAUUUAUGUUAAUAUCAUAAUUCAGUUAAUAUCAAUUAAUUAUCAAUUAAUCAAUUAAUAUCAAUUAAUAAAGUUAAUGUCAAUAUCAUAAUUAUUGAAUGAAAAAAACACCCUUUUUCUUUUUUUAUUGUUCAGAUGGAUGGACGAGCUCAUGAGCCAGUUGGUUUAUUAAAUUUGAACUUUAUUAAACUGACUUUAUUAAGACACUAACUAAAAAUCGUAACUUAAACUAUUUUAGUAAAUGUGAUAAGGGCAUUGCGGCGCCGACGUGCAAAGAAAUAUUUAAACCAUUUUACGAGUGACGAGCCUACGGCAUCGCGGCAUGUCGCACGAGGCACGUACGUAGCCGCGCAGCCACGGGUGCGUCGUCCACCGUCGUAUAAGAUUGGAAAGCCCAUAGUCUGCAUCGCAGCCGGGACAGAGCGAAGGUUGCGACCUUCGCAGUGACUCACUCAUCAAGCAAUGACGUAGGCACUACACGAAAGCUACGUAACACGCAGGGCCGCACUCAAUUGUACAUUGCUAUAACUUAUUGUGAUCUGUGACGUAAUGAAUCCACCAAACAAAGUGGGCCUCAUUGCUUAUGGGCAAGGAUGAGCUAAUACACCGUUCGCGGCCUACUAUAAACACUCUUUAGAACUUCUAUUGAAAGACAAGACAAGACGAAAAUGUAAAAGGAGAGUACUACUAGAAUUUAUUAAAUUACAACCAGAUAUCCGCUUUAACAAAUAAAAGGGACAAUAUUGAUUAACGUUCACCAACAAGACAGAAGCUCGCCUGAUAGACUGAUUGAGUCACACGCACAACAAAACCCUUUAUAGAGUUUAAAACAACAAUUGAGAGUGCCAUAUUGUGUAAGGCUAGGAGCAUAUUGUACGUACAUACAUACACAUUUGGUAUGAUGUUAAGUGAUUACCGAAGCCCGACGAGAUUGGUUUUAGACACGAGAUCCAAUCCUUAAUAUAAUACAUUAAGGAUUCGAUCUCGUGUUCAAGACGGCAUUCAAACUGGCUAGCCGAUCGAGCCUUUUAGAUCCGGAACCCACAAUAUUUCCAUAAAGCUUGGUAUGCAUGUGCCAUCUCUGGCCUGUCGACGGGUGUGAAGUAAUAAAAUAUAUUUGUGAAUUAACAUAAUCUAUUAGUACAGGUUUAAUAUGAUUAGUUAUUAAAUACAAGUCUUCAUUUAUAUUUGAUACUUCCUGUUCACAUAUAAGCUUAAACAGAGAUUUAGAGAUUCGUCUUUGAACAUUAAUAUUCGGUUAUCAUUAUAUUGUUUCUCUCGUUUUAAUAACAAUAAUCAUCAAUACUGUACAAUAUGGUUUGCUCCCAUUUUGUGUCUACAGAGCACCAUCUCAACAGAAAUAGAAACUGAUCUCACUUGCUUACUGAAGAAAACGUAUAGUUUAAAAUACUUAUUCGCCACCGAGAGCAAACCCAUGUGAUAAGAACUAGACACACACCGAUCAAGAAUACGAAACGAUAACACCGGAUCCUGGCCGGGGUCCGGCUCGGAUCGGGCCAGCGAUGUACCGCGACCCACGAGCACGCAAUCUACAGCGCAGUAGUCAGCGGACGUCGCCCCAGUCACAACGGCUCGACUGGGUUUCUGGCAUCCGCUUCGACCGAUUGAUCGCGGAGCGUCUAGAAUGUCUAGAUCGUUGAUGAAGACACCGACCGUGGAAAAAAUACUUUUACGGAAACUACAAAUUUCAAUGACAACGUCUGACGUUCACAAACCGAGUACAAGGCGCCGGCGGUCACUGCUAGCAGCGUGCUCGCAGUCACAGCUAAAACUUUGAGCUUCCCCGUGCAUGAAGGUCCACGUGUGUGUCCUGUACCGUCUGUACGUGUAACAGUUCAUUAACACUCGUUUUUUGCUUCAAUCAGUUCGCGACGUCGGAGUGAGGUCGCAGCGCACCGACGAUAGCUCCAUUUUUAUCGCACGGGUUGCGAGCUCGCACGGCACAGUCCGGCGGCUGGCCCCGGCUCGCCCCGGCGCGGCGGUGUCGCUGCGGUGCACUGACCUGCGGUGCAGCGCGCGUCGGUGCAGACGGGCCGCGCGCACCGCUCCCCGCCCCACCCCGCGCCGCACUCGCAGCGCAGCACGCCCGCACUCGACACGCGGCACGUGCCCUGCCACAACCACUACACGUCACACACUGCAACCGCGAUCGAGCCUACCUACCAGCUCCACUUCACACAUGACCAAUUGUAAAUCAAGUAAACUGAGACAUUAAAAUUCAUAUCUCAAGAUGGGUGGCGGCAUUCACUUUGUAGAACUGUCUAUGGGCUACGGUAACCACUUAACCGGUGGGCCGUGAACGCGUCCACCCAUACAAGCAAUAAAAAAUAAAAUAAAUUCUGAACAUUUUCCAAGUA